GCCCGUUUAGCUCAGUGGUAGAGCGCGCCACUCGUAAUGGUGAGGUCGGUUGUUCAAUCCAGCCAAUGUCG
rnacentral:tRNA from 1 species